rnacentral:rRNA from 1 species
UACGUAGGGUGCGAGCGUUAAUCGGAAUUACUGGGCGUAAAGCGUGCGCAGGCGGUUUUGUAAGCCAGAUGUGAAAGCCCCGGGCUUAACCUGGGAAUGGCAUUUGGGACUGCAAGGCUUGAGUGCGGCAGAGGAGACUGGAAUUCCUGGUGUAGCAGUGAAAUGCGUAGAUAUCAGGAGGAAUACCGAUGGCGAAGGCAGGUCUCUGGGCCGAUACUGACGCUGAGGAGCGAAAGCGCGGGGAGCGAACAGGA